GUAGUAAUUAGUUAUGAUCUCGAAACUUAAAGGAUUUGGCGGUAUUUAAGUCUAGUUAGAGGAACCUGCUCUUUAAACGAUAUGCCACGAAAUAUCUUACUUUAUUUUGUAUACAGCUUGUAUACCUCCAUUAUAAGUAAUGUUUUUAAACAUUUUCUGUAAUAAAAGUUUUCUAAAAUAUUAGGUCAAGGUGCAGCUAAUGAUAAAGUAGUUGUGGGUUACAUUGUAUCUUAUAUCUGAAUGAAUUUAUGAAACUAAACUCUGAAAUUGGAUUUAAUUGUAUUCUUAAAAUAAUAAGUUAAGAUGAUAGUAGCUCUAAAAUAUGCACACAUCGCCCGUC
rnacentral:rRNA from 1 species